rnacentral:tRNA from 1 species
GAAAAUUUAAUUAAAUUUUUAUAAUAUUGAAAUGUCAUUUCAAAAUUGUUUGUAUAACAAUUUUCG